rnacentral:rRNA from 1 species
CCUACGGGGGGCAGCAGUAGGGAAUAUUGCUCAAUGGGGGAAACCCUGAAGCAGCAACGCCGCGUGGAGGAUGAAGGUUUUCGGAUUGUAAACUCCUUUUGUUAGAGAAGAUAAUGACGGUAUCUAACGAAUAAGCACCGUCUAACUCCGUGCCAGCGGCCGCGGGAAUACGGAGGCUGCAAGCGUUACGCGGAAUCUCUGGGCGUAAAGGGGGCGUAGGCGGGAUAGCAAGUCAGAUGUGAAAUCCUAGGGCUUAACCAUAGACCUGCAGUUGAAACUGUGAGUCUAGAGUAUGGGAGAGGUAGGGGGAAGUCUUGGUGGAGGGGUAAAAUCCGUAGAGAUCAAGAGGAAUACUCAUUGCGAAGGCGACCUGCUAGAACGUGAGUGGCGCGGAGGGGGGAGAGGGUGGGUAGGG